AUUGAACGCUGGCGGCAUGCUUUACACAUGCAAGUCGAACGGCAGCGCGGGCUUCGGCCUGGCGGCGAGUGGCGAACGGGUGAGUAAUACAUCGGAACGUGCCCAGUAGUGGGGGAUAGCUCGGCGAAAGCCGGAUUAAUACCGCAUACGACCUGAGGGUGAAAGCGGGGGAUCUUCGGACCUCGCGCUAUUGGAGCGGCCGAUGGCAGAUUAGCUAGUUGGUGGGGUAAAGGCCUACCAAGGCGACGAUCUGUAGCUGGUCUGAGAGGACGACCAGCCACACGAGGGGGGGACCACGCCCAAGCCUCCUGGGGGAGGCACCAGGGGGAUAUGUUGGAGAGGGGGGGAAAGCCUGACCAAACAGGCGGGAGGGGGAAGAAGGGGCGUCGGGGUGGGAAGGAAGUUGUGGGGGGAAAAAAAAGGACUGGGCCAAUACCAGGGUUGGAGGACGGUACCGGCAAAAGAAGCACCGGCUAACUACGGG
rnacentral:rRNA from 1 species